AAAUGUGGAAAGAGUGAGAUCUUCUCUAGGAUCCCCUUCCACUAAAAGUCUUGGUCUCUCGAAACAACAACCAUGCUCAGUAUUCUUUCUUCCCAUCCCACUCUGGGAUGGUGGUUUAGUUAAGACCCCAGCAGGAAUCCCACAGCCUCUGCCCUAGGGCUUGUAUGGCCAGUCACAACCCCAAGACUGUCCCAACUAGAGAAGACCAGCUGCGUUGAAACCUGAAGAUCUUGGGUUUGAGAUUCAAAGCUGUUGGUUCUUAUCUUCCUGGAGACCUGCUGACACCUGCCCUGCAUUUUAACCUGCCAAUUAGAGGUCGUGGGAUAAUCUUACUCAAGCAAGCAUCUAUGGAACAUGGAUCCCAGGUGGGAGAGAAGACAAAGUAAUGUUCUCCGCCCCAACUUGCAAAGUCAAAGUCACUGUCAGAAAUCUCACUCUUGAAACACAAUCUGAACUCCAAACAGCUUCCCUCCACAGUCCACGCUGGUCCCUAGAGUGCUGGGCCCGUGUCUGAUGACCAGUGUUCAAGGUAUCUGCUACAUGUCAGCAGAUACAAUAUACUAGCACCAACGCCCCGCCCAGGAAGGUCUCCUCUAUUUUGGUGCCCAGCCUAGGUGCUUCUAAUAAACAGUCAGAAACAGACAUCACUGAGUGCAUC